GGGCCAGUGGCACAAUGGACAACAUAUCUGACUAUGAAUCAGGAGAUUGCAGGUUCAACUCUUGCUUGGCUCA
rnacentral:tRNA from 1 species